rnacentral:tRNA from 1 species
GUUCAGUCGGUAGAACAUGGGACUUUUAAUCCAAUCGUUCCGGGUUCAAGUCCCAG